UACGUAGGAGACGAGCGUUGUCCGGAGUUACUGGGCGUAAAGGGUGCGCAGGUGGCGGCGCGCGUGGGGGGUGAAAUCGCCCGGCUUAACUGGGCGGGGGCCUUCCAGACGGCGUGGCUUGAGCAGCGGAGGGGGACGUGGAAUUCCGGGUGGAGCGGUGAAAUGCGUAGAGAUCCGGAGGAACACCGACGGCGUAGGCAGCGCCCUGGCUGUGAAUAAAGCUGACACUGAGGCACGAAAGCUGGGGGAGCGAACAGG
rnacentral:rRNA from 1 species